rnacentral:rRNA from 1 species
GGAACUGAGACACGGUCCAAACUCCUACGGGAGGCAGUAGUGAGGAAUAUUGGUCAAUGGACGAGAGUCUGAACCAGCCAAGUAGCGUGCAGGAUGACGGCCUAUGGGUUGUAAACUGCUUUUAUAAGGGAAUAUGUACCUUAUGAAUAAGGACCGGCUAAUUCCGUGCCAGCAGCCGCGGUAAUACGGAAGGUCCGGGCGUUAUCCGGAUUUAUUGGGUUUAAAGGGAGCGUAGGCCGGAGAUUAAGCGUGUUGUGAAAUGUAGACGCUCAACGUCUGCACUGCAGCGCGAACUGGUUUCCUUGAGUACGCACAAAGUGGGCGGAAUUCGUGGUGUAGCGGUGAAAUGCUUAGAUAUCACGAAGAACUCCGAUUGCGAAGGCAGCUCACUGGAGCGCAACUGACGCUGAAGCUCGAAAGUGCGGGUAUCGAACAGGAUUAGAUACCCUGGUAGUCCGCACGGUAAACGAUGGAUGCCCGCUUUGGUAGCGGCCAAGCGAAAGCAUUAAGCAUCCCACCUGGGGAGUACGCCGGCAACGGUGAAACUCAAAGGA